AAAAAAACUUUAUUGCUAGCUGUGAGAACGGACUUGGUAUCAGGCAAUGGUGGAUCUGAAUCGGCCACUGUGUGUACAGAGUGAGGUACAGCCCCUUUGUGCAUUUGCUACAGAAUGCAGAGGAAGCUGACGAAAAAACUUGUGAAAUGUGUUUGAGUGCUGGGCUUGUAGUAAAGGCUCUUCGGUUGUUACCAUUGGGGAAAACGCAAAUACCGCAGCCUGGUCCUUCAUGUGGUAUAGAAUGCAGCUUUCCAAACCCAUGGUGCCACAGAACCCCUGUGGGUGGACUUAGCACGUGUGGCCCUCUGCCUGGCCCUCUGGUGUCCAGCUGGACUUGGUUUCUUUCAGGACGGCUUGAAAACGGCCGAUAAGCUGAAACAGUACAUAGAGAAGCUGGCUGCAGAUUUAUAUAACGUAA